UGGGGAAUAUUGCACAAUGGGCGAAAGCCUGAUGCAGCGACGCCGCGUGAGGGAUGACGGCCUUCGGGUUGUAAACCUCUUUCAGCAGGGACGAAGCGCAAGUGACGGUACCUGCAGAAGAAGCACCGGCUAACUACGUGCCAGCAGCCGCGGUAAUACGUAGGGUGCAAGCGUUGUCCGGAAUUACUGGGCGUAAAGAGUUCGUAGGCGGUUUGUCGCGUCGUUUGUGAAAACCAGCAGCUCAACUGCUGGCUUGCAGGCGAUACGGGCAGACUUGAGUACUGCAGAGGAGACUGGAAUUCCUGGUGUAGCGGUGAAAUGCGCAGAUAUCAGGAGGAACACCGGUGGCGAAGGCGGGUCUCUGGGCAGUAACUGACGCUGAGGAACGAAAGCGUGGGUAGCGAACAGG
rnacentral:rRNA from 2 species